rnacentral:rRNA from 1 species
UACGUAGGGGGCAAGCGUUGUCCGGAGUUACUGGGCGUAAAGGGCGCGUAGGCGGCGCACCAAGUCAGGCGUGAAAGCCCUGGGCUCAACCCGGGAAUUGCGCUUGAGACUGGUGUGCUUGAGUACGGGAGAGGAUAGUGGAAUUCCCAGUGUAGAGGUGAAAUUCGUAGAUAUUGGGAAGAACACCGGUGGCGAAGGCGGCUAUCUGGACCGUAACUGACGCUGAGGCGCGAAAGCGUGGGGAGCAAACAGG